AGGUUAAGCUACUAAGGGCACACGGUGGAUGCCUUGGCGCUAGGAGCCGAUGAAGGACGGGACGAACUCCGAUAAGCUUCGGGGAGCUGUAAGUAAGCUUUGAUCCGGAGAUUUCCGAAUGGGGCAACCCACCAGCUUGAAGAGCUGGUACCGCCACCUGAAUCCAUAGGGUGGUCGGAGGCAGACCAGGGGAACUGAAACAUCUAAGUACCCUGAGGAAGAGAAAGCAAACGCGAUUCCCUGAGUAGCGGCGAGCGAAACGGGAACAGCCCAAACCGAUGGCGGCACAAGGCCAUCGGGGUUGUAGGACGUCUCACACGGAGUCACAAAGGGAGCGAAUAGGUGAACUGGUCCUGGAAAGGCCGGCAAUAUAAGGUAACAGCCCUGUAACGUGAAACCCCGUGGGAAGCUGGGAGGACCACCUCCCAAGGCUAAAUACUCCCUAGCGACCGAUAGUGAACCAGUACCGUGAGGGAAAGGUGAAAAGCACCCCGGGAGGGGAGUGAAAGAGAACCUGAAACCGUGUGCUUACAACCAGUCGGAGUCCCCUUGAGGGAUGACGGCGUGCCUUUUGUAGAAUGAACCGGCGAGUAACGGUUGCGUGCAAGGUUAAGGUGAAAAGCUGGAGCCGAUGAGGUGUGGGUAGGGGUGAAAUGCCAAUCGAACCCGGAGAUAGCUGGUUCUCCCCGAAAUAGCUUUAGGGCUAGCCUCGGAUCAAGAGUCAUGGAGGUAGAGCACUGAUUGGGCUAGGGGCCCCCACAGGGUUACCGAACUCAGUUAAACUCCGAAUGCCAUCGACUCAUGUCCGGGAGUCAGACUGCGAGUGCUAAGAUCCGUAGUCAAGAGGGAAACAGCCCAGACCACCAGCUAAGGUCCCCAAGUAAUCGUUAAGUGGCAAAGGAUGUGGAGUUGCCUAGACAACCAGGAUGUUGGCUUAGAAGCAGCCACCAUUCAAAGAGUGCGUAAUAGCUCACUGGUCAAGUGACUCUGCGCCGAAAAUGUAACGGGGCUAAACGAUUCACCGAAGCUGUGGAUGCCGCCACAUUCACUCUGUCUUUCAUGAUCGUCGGCGUAGGACAUUUGCCGAAAACAUCUUUUCGGCUAAAUGCCAUAGCGAAACGAUGUGUGGAAGCUGGAGUGAAUGCGGUGGCAUGGUAGGGGAGCGUUCCAAGCAGCAGCGAAGCUGCUUCGUGAGAAGUGGUGGAGCGCUUGGAAGUGAGAAUGCCGGUAUGAGUAGCGAAAAGAGGGGUGAGAAUCCCCUCCACCGUAAGCCUAAGGUUUCCUGAGGAAGGUUCGUCCGCUCAGGGUUAGUCGGGACCUAAGCUGAGGCCGAAAGGCGUAGGCGAUGGACAACAGGUUGAUAUUCCUGUACCACCUAUUUUCGUUUGUACGAUGGGGGGACGCAGGAGGGUAGGGAAUCGCGCGACUGGAAGUGCGCGUCCAAGCAGUGAGGCCGAAAGGAUAGGCAAAUCCGUCCUUUCUACAGGCUGGGCUGUGAUGGCGAGGGAAAUCAUCAGUACCGAAGUUCCUGAUCUCACACUGCCAAGAAAAGCCUCUAGGAGAAAAUAGGUGCCCGUACCGCAAACCGACACAGGUAGGCGAGGAGAGAAUCCUAAGGUGCUCGGGAAAACUCUCGUUAAGGAACUCGGCAAAAUGACCCCGUAACUUCGGGAGAAGGGGUGCCCCGGUAGGGUGAAAGCCCGAGGGGGCCGCAGUGAAGAGGUCCAGGCGACUGUUUAGCAAAAACACAGGUCUCUGCUAAGCCGCAAGGCGAUGUAUAGGGGCUGACGCCUGCCCGGUGCUGGAAGGUUAAGGGGAAGGGUUAGCGCAAGCGAAGCUCUGAACCGAAGCCCCAGUAAACGGCGGCCGUAACUAUAACGGUCCUAAGGUAGCGAAAUUCCUUGUCGGGUAAGUUCCGACCCGCACGAAAGGCGUAACGAUCUGGACGCUGUCUCAACGAGAGACCCGGUGAAAUUGUACUGCCAGUGAAGAUGCUGGCUACCCGCGACAAGACGGAAAGACCCCGUGGAGCUUUACUGUAGCCUGAUAUUGAAUCUAGGUACGACUUGUACAGGAUAGGUGGGAGUCUGAGAAGCCGGAGCGCCAGCUUCGGUGGAGACGCCGGUGGGAUACCACUCUGGUCGUAUCGGGGUUCUAACUCGCCGCCGUCACCCGGCGGGAGGACCGUGUCAGGUGGGCAGUUUGACUGGGGCGGUCGCCUCCUAAAAAGUAACGGAGGCGCUCUAAGGUUCCCUCAGCGCGGUCGGAAAUCGCGCUCCAGAGUGCAAAGGCAGAAGGGAGCUUGACUGCGAGACCUACAAGUCGAGCAGGGACGAAAGUCGGACUUAGUGAUCCGGUGGUUCCGAGUGGAAGGGCCAUCGCUCAACGGAUAAAAGCUACCCCGGGGAUAACAGGCUUAUCUCCCCCAAGAGUCCACAUCGACGGGGAGGUUUGGCACCUCGAUGUCGGCUCAUCGCAUCCUGGGGCUGUAGUAGGUCCCAAGGGUUGGGCUGUUCGCCCAUUAAAGCGGUACGCGAGCUGGGUUCAGAACGUCGUGAGACAGUUCGGUCCCUAUCUGUCGUGGGCGUAGGAAAUUUGAGAGGAGCUGUCCUUAGUACGAGAGGACCGGGAUGGACGCACCUCUGGUGUACCAGUUGUUCCGCCAGGAGCACCGCUGGGUAGCCAAGUGCGGACGGGAUAAGCGCUGAAAGCAUCUAAGCGCGAAGCCCCCCUCAAGAUGAGAUUUCCCAUUCCCCUGUGGAAGUAAGACCCCUUGUAGAUGACGAGGUUGAUCGGUCCG
rnacentral:rRNA from 1 species